UGUAGGUCACCACAACGUGUACACAGGCGAACUGUUAGAGCGCUCACCAAGUAGCCGUAACGUUGUUAAUCAUGAGUUACCCGAGUGGCCUGGCUGCUUUGGGCUGGCCUGUGAGGUGGUCUCUGGGUGCUGAUCUAGGCAGAGAGGCAGAGGCAGGAGGAGCCUGCAGUGGAGGAGUGGCUGUGGGUGUUGAGGUGCCUGUCCAUGCCCGGGGUCCGGAGUAGAUAGCAGCUAAAACGCUUUGCUCUGCCCUCCCAACAGACGCUGGUUGGAGGCAGCCUCAGCAACAGACUCAGGAACAGGACAAGGACCCAAACCAACCCCAGGCUGUGUAAGGGCUAUUUGACCAAGAAGGAGAGUGAUGGAGUGCUGCAUCAGAUGACUUGGCCUCUACAAUCACCCGACCUCAAACCAAUUGAGAUCGUUUGGGAUGAGUUGGACUCCAGAGUGAAGGAAAAGCAGCCAACAAGUGCUCAUCAUAUGUGGGAACUCCUUCAAGACUUUUGGAAAAGCAUUCCAGGUUAGCUUUUGUAGGGAAGCUAAUUAUCCAUCAUGUAUGACAUUCCUGGGAGUGUGUAAACUUGAAUUUUUUAUUACCAUGGCAUUUUUGUUUGUUCUCUAGUCAUGUCCUUGAAAAUGUAUAAAUUGACCAAUUAGGCACAUUUGGCAAACUCCUGUCAUUCUGAAACGUUGCACAUACACUGCUGCUUGCUUGUGGACAACAUCUCAAUUUACACCUAGACUCCUAUCUCAAUGUAUGGCCUUUCUCUUCCAUUUCAUGAUGAUGAAAUGAUGAUGAAAAAAAAGAAAUAUGUAUUUUUGUUUGUAUUAUCUUUUACCAGAUCUAAUGUGUUAUAUUCUCCUGCAUUCAUUUCACAUUUCCACCAACUUCAAAGUGUUUCCUUCAAAUGGUAUCAAGAAUAUGCAUAUCCUUGUUUCAAGUCCUGAGCUACAGGCAGUUAGAUUUGGGUAUGUUAUUUUAGGCGGAAAUACAAAAAAUGGGUCCGAUCCUUGUAACCAUAAUAUUUGUUGUAAUAUUUGUUCGGUCUUUUCUGGUGGAUUAAACUGAAAUUGCAACCAACA